AGGAUUGGUUACUAUAUCCAAGGGGUCUUAUGAAGUGGGUGAUCCAGAUGUACCUUCAUCUACUUAUGAUGAGUUGAAUAUUCUUCCUAUAGAAGCGACAAAUGUUUUAACAAUGCCAGCAAUGGAGGAGCAAGUUGAGAUUGUGUCCACGGCUGAAGUGUUGGUUGCUAAAUCCAAUCAGCUAGGGCCUAAUGAAGGAGGUGAUUUAUGUUAUAGUUCAGAGGGAAUUGGAGCACUGGGUGCUAGAUCCAAGAAGCCCAAUGAAGUAGAUUAUCCAGAUCUACCAGCAUCUACUUCCAAUGAGUCAAAUAUUCUUCCUGUUGAAACAUCAAAUGUUUUAACAACGCCAGCAAUGGAAAAGCAACUUGAGAUCGCGUCCACAGUUGGUGCAUUGGUUGCUAAAUCCAA
rnacentral:misc_RNA from 1 species